rnacentral:rRNA from 1 species
CUGGCGGCGUGCCUAAUACAUGCAAGUCGAGCGGACUUAUUCCUUCGGGGAUAGGUUAGCGGCGGACGGGUGAGUAACGCGUGGGAACGUACCUUUCGGUUCGGAAUAAUUCAGGGAAACUUGGACUAAUACCGGAUACGCCCUUCGGGGGAAAGAUUUAUCGCCGAUAGAUCGGCCCGCGUCUGAUUAGCUAGUUGGUGAGGUAAUGGCUCACCAAGGCGACGAUCAGUAGCUGGUCUGAGAGGAUGAUCAGCCACAUUGGGACUGAGACACGGCCCAAACUCCUACGGGAGGCAGCAGUGGGGAAUAUUGGACAAUGGGCGCAAGCCUGAUCCAGCCAUGCCGCGUGAGUGAUGA